rnacentral:tRNA from 1 species
AGGGGUAUAACUCAGUGGUAGAGCGCGUGCUUAGCAUGCACAAGGUCCUAGGUUCAAUCCCUGGUACCUCCG